AUAUUAUUAACAUGUGUAUAUUGAGCAGAUGUCUUUGGUACGAGUUGAAAAUAGUAAAAUGGUACCAACGAAAACCACAUCGGAUGCACAUUCAAAAACAGUGAGAGACAUAACUAUCCUCAACAAAGAUGCAUGUCAGGUGCCUUGUAAUUGCAAAGUACAGUGAGAUCCGUAUUACAAACUUCACCGGAAUGUCCAGAGAUUAAACAUAUGGAGCAAAGAUCAUAUGAAACUUAUGAUCCAUUAAGGAUAACAGCAUCAAGAAUGAUCCAAAAAAUUAAAUGACAAAUGCAAAGAAAGUGACAUUGAAUGACCUUAACUAAAAUCAGCAUAUAUUGUCGAAGG